UACGAAGGGGGCUAGCGUUGUUCGGAAUUAUUGGGCGUAAAGAGCACGUAGGCGGCCUUGUAAGUCAGUUGUGAAAGCCUUCUGCUCAACGGAAGAACAGCAUCUGAUACUGCAAGGCUAGAGUGCGGAAGGGGAGAGUGGAACUUCUGGUGGAGCGGUGAAAUGCGUAGAUAUCAGAAGGAACACCGGCGGCGAAGGCGACUCUCUGGUCCGUAACUGACGCUGAGUGUGCGAAAGCUAGGGGAGCAAACGGG
rnacentral:rRNA from 1 species